UCAGUUCGGAUUGUAGUCUGCAACUCGACUACAUGAAGCUGGAAUCGCUAGUAAUCGCGCAUCAGCCAUGGCGCGGUGAAUACGUUCCCGGGCCUUGUACACACCGCCCGUCAAGCCAUGGGAGCCGGGGGUGCUUGAAGUGCGUCGCCGCAAGGCGCGCCCUAGAGCAAAACCGGUGACUGGGGCUAAGUCGUAACAAGGUAUC
rnacentral:rRNA from 1 species